GACCUUUCUGUCCUGCUAAUUUACAGUGCAAUUUCCUCAUAAUUUACCUGCUAAUUUACAGUGUCAUUUCCUCAUAUUUUACCUGCUAAUUUACAGUGUCAUUUCCUCAUAAUUUACCUGCUAAUUUACAGUGUCAUUUCCUCAUAAUUUACCUGCUAAUUUACAGUGUCAUUUCCUCAUAAUUUACCUGCUAAUUUACAGUGUCAUUUCCUCAUAAUUUACCUGCUAAUUUACAGUGUCAUUUCCUCAUAAUUUACCUGCUAAUGCGGCUAUUUGUUCUGCAUGUUGCGUGAAAACAAAUCUGCGUCGCAAAUGGCACCCUAUUCCGAAUAUAGUGCACUACUUUUCACCAAGGCCCUUGGGGCUCGGGUCGUAAGUUGUGCACUAUGUAGGGAAUAGGGUGCCAUUUGGGUCACUGACCAAAUAACCCAUUCUAACACAACACAAACAUGAGUUUGUUUGAACUACAGUAGGUUGUUAAUGAUAUCCUGCUUAUACAGUAGGUUGUUAAUGAUAGGCUGAUUAUACAGUAGGUUGUUAAUGAUAGGCUGAUUCUACAGUAGGUUGUUAAUGAUAUCCUGAUCAUACAGUAGGUUGUUAAUGAUAGGCUGAUUAUACAGUAGGUUGUUAAUGAUAGGCUGAUUCUACAGUAGGUUGUUAAUGAUAUCCUGAUCAUACAGUAGGUUGUUAAUGAUAGGCUGAUUAUACAGUAGGUUGUUAAUGAUAGGCUGAUUAUACAUUAGGCUGUUAAUGAUAGGCUGAUUCUACAGUAGGUUGUUAAUGAUAGGCUGAUUAUACAGUAGGUUGUUAAUAAUAUCCUACUUUUACAGUAGGUUGUUAAUGAUAGGCUGAUUAUACAGUAGGUUGUUAAUAAUAGGCUGCUUCUACAGUGCAGAAAUAAGUAUUUUGCAGAAAUACAGUAAGUGUUUAGUGUUUUAACGUAAGUUAUUUUUGUGUGUUGCUGUCCAUUGACUGAUGGGGGAUAUCAGGCUAUUUUGUUAUUUUUAUAUGAAUUAUUGAAUAACUCAUUGUACUCCGUUGAUGUGAUAUGUGUACUUAUUAAGGUAGCGAGGUAUUGUAGUGAUGCACAGUGGUGAUUUCUAGUCACAAUAUGCCAGCAGCAGACCACCCUGCAUCCCACUGCUGGCUUGCUUCUGAAGCUAAGCAGGGUUGGUCCUGGAUGGGAGACCAGAUGCUGCUGGAAGUGGUGUUGGAGGGCCAAUAGGAGGAAUUGUAGUGAUGCACAGUGGUGAUUUCUAGUCACAAUAAACUACUAAUGUUUUCAGUUAAUACUCUUCAGGAUUUUGUAUGAUUUUUAUUAGCCUGGGUGCCAGUCUGUAUAGCCAGUUAUACAUGAUUUUUAUUAGCCUGGGUGCCAGUCUGUAUAGCCAGUUAUACAUGUGUCACGUCCUAACCAGUAAAAGGGGUUGUUUGUUAUUGUAGUUUGGUCAGGGCAUGGCAGGAGGUGUUUGUUUAGGGUGUUUCGGGGUGUUUUGGUUUAUGUUCUAUGUUAGUGUAUUUCUAUGUUCGUUCUAUUUGUUCUAUUUCUAUGCGUAGUUUAUUGGGUUGAUCUUCAAUUGGAGGCAGCUGUUCCUCGUUGCCUCUAAUUGAAGGUCCUAUUUAAUAGAGGUGUUUUUGUCAUGGGAUUUGUGGGUAGUUGUUUCUCUGUAUAGUCAUUUUGUCCUUACGAGACAGUUUUUUCGCCGUUGUUUUGUGUCACGUUUCUUUAUAAAUAAAGAAGAAGAUGAGCACUUACAUUCCCGCUGCGUUUUGGUCCACUCCAUACGACGAAUGUGACAACAUGAGUUUUAUUAGCCUGGGUGCCAGUCUGUAUAGCC
rnacentral:lncRNA from 1 species